AAAAAAAAAAAAAAGACACCGAAGAAGACGUGGAGGAGUUCACGCACAGAUUUGGUGAUCAAGAGGACACCGAAAGGAAAUAUCCAAGUGAUAACAAGCCAAGGAGAGAAGAUCAUCAAAGAGGUGUUUUCUAGUUCCGGUGUAGCGAGAAAUUGGUUGAGUGUUUCUCAAAUGAUUUCCAAUGGCUAAGGGCUCUUAUUUGAAGACAAUAGAUGUCUCAUCAACGAUCCUCAAGGAAGAAGGAGACUUGAUAUUAAGAGGAAGCAGAAGAUUUUUCCAUUGAGAUGGAGAAAGUCGGACACAAGUGUUUUACUUGCAAGGGAGAAGUAAACAAGGUCAAGGGUUGAAGAGAAGUUUGGAAGAAGACAGAAACUCAAUUAAGGGGGACUGUUGGUCGAUAAUUGAGUUCUGUCUAUAUUAAAGUUUCAUAUAUUAAGUGGUUACUUGUCAAGGGACACAAGUACGAAGAGACACAACUCAUUAUGUGUUGUGUCUAUUUGUUUUCUAUAUAAACCCCUUGUAUCGUCAUGUAAAU
rnacentral:sRNA from 1 species